ensembl:misc_RNA
CUGACAUCACAGGUAGGAGGAAACGUGAGUUCCCGGGCAGGACAGACGGGCAGCCAGCUGCUGUCCCUUGUGCUGGGCAGGCCCUGGAGACACUGUCUGCUGGGUUGGUAGGGAAGGACUGGUG